UACGAAGGGUGCAAGCGUUACUCGGAAUUACUGGGCGUAAAGGGCGCGUAGGCGGCGCGGAUAGUCGGCGGUGAAAGCCCGGAGCUCAACUCCGGGUCGGCCGUCGAUACUUCCGGGCUUGAGCACUGUAGAGGCAGAUGGAAUUCCGGGUGUAGCGGUGGAAUGCGUAGAGAUCCGGAAGAACACCGGUGGCGAAGGCGGUCUGCUGGGCAGUUGCUGACGCUGAUGCGCGACAGCGUGGGGAGCAAACAGG
rnacentral:rRNA from 1 species